rnacentral:rRNA from 1 species
AUUGAACGCUGGCGGCAGGCCUAACACAUGCAAGUCGAACGGUAACAGGAAACAGCUUGCUGUUUCGCUGACGAGUGGCGGACGGGUGAGUAAUGUCUGGGAAACUGCCUGAUGGAGGGGGAUAACUACUGGAAACGGUAGCUAAUACCGCAUAACGUCGCAAGACCAAAGAGGGGGACCCUCGGGCCUCUUGCCAUCGGAUGUGCCCAGGUGGGAUUAGCUUGUUGGUGGGGUAACGUCUCACCAAGGCGACGAUCCGUAGCUGGUCUGAGAGGAUGACCAGCCACACUGGAACUGAGACACGGUCCAGACUCCUACGGGAGGCAGCAGUGGGGAAUAUUGGACAAUGGGCGCAAGCCUGAUGCAGCCAUGCCGCGUGUAUGAAGAAGGCCUUCGGGUUGUAAAGUACUUUCAGAGGGGAGGAAGGGAGUAAAGUUAAUACCUUGGCUCAUUGACGUUACCCGAAGAAGAAGCACCGGCUAACUACGUG